CACCGCGGUUAUACGAGAGGCCCAAGUUGACAGACAACGGCGUAAAGAGUGGUUAGGGCAACCCCAAAACUAAAGUCGAACACCUUCAGAACUGUUAUACGUUCCCGAAGAUAAGAAGCUCUAUUACGAAAGUAACUUUACCUAUCCCGACCCCACGAAAGCUGUGACA
rnacentral:rRNA from 1 species